CAAUUCACCUGUGGGUCUGGAAGCGGUGGAACCAGAUUCUACCUCUCCCUAACCUCAUUUAGGGGCUGGCAGCUGCAAGGGAAGCACCUCAACUUGGAGACUGUUUCUUUUGGAAUGUUCAACAAGCCCUGAUCAUCAGAAUGGGGCAGCACGCAGCUCCCAGACCUGCACUGUGAUCCAUCCAUCCUGCAGAGAACUGGCUCUGCUUCUUACAAGUGCCAUUUAACACCUGGAGGGCUAUGGCGGUGUAGUCUCUAUUCUCAAGAUCAUCUUCAUGAAAAUAUCCAUGGAUUGACUGCUAAAGAAACAAGAGGAAUUAACAGAGAGAAAAGCACUGCAGUUCAGAAGGGACUUGCCUUUCGUAUCUCUGAACGUAUCUCACCAGUGUUACUGCAACCUGUGGGUCUGUGAGUAGUAAAGUUACAGAAGAAGCCACUGCUAAAUUAUAACCUUAAAAAUGAUGGGAUUUCACCAGUGUCAGCGUCUAUUGUUCAUAAAGGAGUCGGGGAAUGUAUGCAUCCAGUUUUAAUUAUACAUGACCUACAGGUGAUUGCAAAGGCAGAAAAGUCACCUAAUGAAGCCUGAACUGAUCUAAGAACAUGGGUUGGCUCCAUUCCCUGGAGUAAAACCUCAAUAGAGAAGAUCAAACGUGAGAUUCACCUACUUCUGAGCACAGAUGUGUUUCAGGACAAAGUUUGACACGCAGGCCCCUCUCCUCAAGCAGAACGGUACACGACAAAUGUAUCACUGCACAGCGACAUCCAAGCAGCAUGCCACAAGGUACUCUUGUAUAUGUGAUGCAACAUGGUCUAACAGUGGUCAACCCAAGGGAAUCAUAAGACCAAAGCCCUACUUGAGAAGCGGUGUGCUGGCAUGGAGGUCUCAGGAAUGUCUGCUCUGAACCUCAAGCUGGAUGGGGUUUAUCAUGAUUCUUUUUCUCCCUGAGCUUGGAAAACUGGAUGUGGAACAAACUUCUGCUGUGUUGAUCAUCUCACAAUGAAAUAGGAAGCAGAUCCUGCUUAACAUCAGAAACAAUAUUUAAUGACUCCUACAAAUGUACCUGAUAUUUACACACCAGUGCUUCAUAGGACUGAUUCCAGGUGACCUUGGCAACUUUUUUUUCAGUUCAUAGUUUAAGUAAUGUUUCUGCUUAGUUGCUAUUUUGCUUAAGACCUUCAUUCUUGUGACAAACAACCAGGGAGUUUUGUGUUGUAUCAUUGCAUGGUUUUCUUAGUAGUGAUGUGUAAAAAAUGACAUAUGUGAAAUGCAAUGAAACUUUCAGGAGACUUCCAACGCUGAAGAUUAAGUAAAUAUGAUUUUAUUCUAUAAAGUUAAGUUCCAUCACCAGCAGUUACAGUAACUAACUUGUCUGCUUUUCUCAAUGUGUGGGAACUGUUGAAUCAUGGCCUGAACCUCUCAUUGAUUGCCUGAGGCAAGCACUGAGUCAGCUGCGGGAGCGCAGAUGAAGGCAACUCAGCUGUGUGACUGAAAAGGGUGGAGCUUGUCUCCACCUCUCUUAGACCCCAUUUAAGGGAUGACUGCUACUGGGGAAGGUUCUCCUUCUGAAGAUUGCUCCUCUUAAAGUUUUUUCCUACAAGUCCAGGACGCAGGAGAAAUACUUCAGAAAGAGGGCAAAUUUUCCCUUCCCUGAAGGCACCCUCUUCCUUGAAUUCUGGGAGGUAAAGAUUAAGCUGACAGAUGGUAUUGGCAGAAGAAUGAUUAUGAGCUUUAAAAACCUAGGUAUUUUGGCUUAGUAUGCCUUUUUUUUCAUGCAAAUACUGACAUGGAUAUUACAUCCAAUUAAGAAAGUAUGAAACUAUGCCAUUUUGGUUACACUUCACAUUGUAAUCAUAUAAUGUUUCAUUAAAAAUAUUGAGAAAGGCUGCUCCAGAAGGGAUAAAAAUCAAUGAUGUAUAUGUUACUUCUGCUUUUCUGUUUUGGUACUUUAUGGCAUUGAAAAUGGACUAUGGAUGUCUUGAAAAUAUCUCAUCAAGCUGACUGAGAUACUGCUCCUGUUUUUAGAUCCUAUCCUUACCGAAAGGACUGAUUUACAUUGCAAUACUUGGUUAUAGAGUUCUGAAAUCUCCCUUUAUGUGUCAGUACUUCAGCAGGGUUCAAGUUGAGAUGUUUGUGAUAAACCCAGACUGAUUUAUUUCUGGAGGUUAGGUUACAUCCAGAUUGGUACCACUUACUAGUUGGACUCUAAAGGCAGUGAUUUGUGCCUGGUGGAGAAAAUCUCUUAUGCAUCUCUAUGUGGUGAACUCCAAGAAAAUGUUUAUAAAUGUCCUCUCCAAACUCCAGUGCAUCAAUAAAAGAAAAGGAAAAUAAAGUCUAUUCACAGAUGUUUGAAGAAAAUUCAUGGCUAGGAUGAAGCUCAUCACACCCUCCUUCCUCCUUUUGGGAGGAAGGUGCCCAGGUAUUAGUUAAAUAGAAAAGUGAAUUUCAGGAAAAAUCUAUCCAUCAUUUCUACACUGUGAAGAGCAAUUCACUGUUUGAUUUGACAAGAAAAUGUUUAUUGAAUAGUUAGCCAUUAAAUUGUCAAUUAAUUAUAUAUUGGCUCAACUGGGAUUUUUUUUUAACAUUGUUUUAUCUACCCAUCUUCAUUUAUCAAAAAGAAUACAUCAUACUCUUUACUUAUCACCUAAAAAUCAGACGUUCUGGCAUUUGCCUAUGGCAAUCUUAUGUUCAAAAUUCUUUCAUUCUGUUUUUUUUUUUUUUUAAUACAAGAUGAAAUGUGUGUUGCAGAUGUAAAAUCUCCCAGGGUGCUUUCAAUUAAAUAGUAUAUUUAAUUGCAAAUAUUUAUUACGACAAAACUCAUAAUUAUACCAUACACAGAAAAAUAGGUUGAAGAUGGAAAAGAAAUGCAUUGCACCUCAGUAUCAUUAGCCUCAAUCAGAAUCAAACAAAUUCAGCCUUGCUGAAUUUAACAGAUUUGGCACAGCAAUCUGAUGAUGAACAGGCAGCUACUUUCCUUACACGUUAGUUCCUCUAUAAGCAAUAUCAGUUGGAUUAACUUCAAAGUUGGCAUUUUUUAAGCCUUAAAUAUAUGUUUAUGUAAAACAGCCACCAUUUCAUACACUAGGUGGGAAGUACUGCAAAUGUUAGUAAAAGCUCUUGCAGUUGCCCCAGCAACAAAGAGCCCUUCCAGCAGGCAUUUGCUGUGGCUUUCAUGUCUCAUUAUUGCUGUACUUCUAUGUUUUGAGUUUUCAGUAAAGUGAUCAAAAUAUGCGCACGUCUUUAGUUAAACAAAACAAAAAAACAAACAACAAAAAAAGAGAUUAAGUGUAUCAAAUAUUUUGCAUUUAUAGCAAACUGAUAUUCAUGGUAUUCCUCACUUCAUUUUGUCCAUUAUCUAGCUUCGGAGAAGUAGGCAUGCUGCUGCCUCAGUAAUAUUUACAGCACAUGGUAAAGGUGAUUUCUCUGUGCCCACACUCCUUCAUUGUUGACCUGCUUGUUUGUUUUAAAGAAGAAUAUUCUUUUUUUUAUCUAGGCUUCACCAUAAAAUUGCAUUUAAUGUCAGCAACUUCUUGACUGUGUUCUUUAUAACGCUGAUAUUUAAAAAAUGAAUUUAACAUUUGGAAAAAUGAUUAUUGCUAUUUAUGUCUGGUGAUUCUGUUGCCGAAGAAAAAAUGGAAGCUGCAGGGUCUGGGUGUACACUAAGUGAUAGGUGUACACACCAGACAAAUAACGAUGGACAACUUGAUAUGCUCAGAUGGCUCUUAGAGCACGUCAUUGUUUCAAAAUCCCCAGUCUGCCAGGCUGCUUGGGAUGACAGAGGUAACUAUUCCUCCAAUAAUUGUUUCUAAUAUGAAUUCUAACAAAGUGAAGCUCUUGAGCUGGUCACUUAGAGUUCUGCAUGACAAAACUGAAUUUGAGGUGGUGUGUUUUGUUCACACGAUCACUCAAAAUAACAGUCUAGUUAAAAGUGAUCAUUUCUUGAAAUGCAGCCUGAGUAUUUUCAUUAUCUGUAAACCCGGCAAUAGCAAUAGUUAAUGGCCUUCUGAGGCAAUGGGAAAAUUGUCUAACGGUGUUGUGUGAAGGCCUACUGAUGAGGUACAGAGAGAUCAAACUCUACUCCCGUUUAAGAUGUGUUGGUGCCUUGAUAUGAAAGUGGGACUUGUGCAGCUGGGCAUACCGCACACCUCCCUUGCGCAAUGCAAGCAGUGGCUAAAAAAUGACACUUCAUUUAGCCUUGCACCACCUCAGCAAAGGUGCAAAGCACCAAAUGCACACAUGGUCUUAACCCACACUCAAGUCAGCACUAUAGCAUCACUGUCACCAUCACGUGGUCUGCCUGUGCUACCCAACCUUCUGUCCGGUCUUUGUUCUGCUGCUAGGAUUCACCUUUAAAAGUCUUUCUGGAAUUGUUCCAGGUGUAUCACAGUGUAACGCACACCAUCACUGGAAACAAAGCAUUUACCGAAUUACAUGGUUCAUGUGCUGCUUUAUGCCCACA